rnacentral:rRNA from 1 species
GAAUUCACUAGUGAUUUGGCGGCGUGGUUAAGACAUGCAAGUCGAACGGGAUCCCAGGAGCUUGCUCCUGGGUGAGAGUGGCGAACGGGUGAGUAAUGCGUGACCGACCUGCCCCAUACACCGGAAUAGCUCCUGGAAACGGGUGGUAAUGCCGGAUGCUCCAGUUGGAUGCAUGUCCUUCUGGGAAAGAUUCAUCGGUAUGGGAUGGGGUCGCGUCCUAUCAGCUUGAUGGCGGGGUAACGGCCCACCAUGGCUUCGACGGGUAGCCGGCCUGAGAGGGCGACCGGCCACAUUGGGACUGAGAUACGGCCCAGACUCCUACGGGAGGCAGCAGUGGGGAAUAUUGCACAAUGGGCGCAAGCCUGAUGCAGCGACGCCGCGUGCGGGAUGACGGCCUUCGGGUUGUAAACCGCUUUUGACUGGGAGCAAGCCCUUCGGGGUGAGUGUACCUUUCGAAUAAGCACCGGCUAACUACGUGCCGGCAGCCGCGGUAAUACGUAGGGUGCAAGCGUUAUCCGGAAUUAUUGGGCGUAAAGGGCUCGUAGGCGGUUCGUCGCGUCCGGUGUGAAAGUCCAUCGCUUAACGGUGGAUCCGCGCCGGGUACGGGCGGGCUUGAGUGCGGUAGGGGAGACUGGAAUUCACGGUGUAGCAA